UUGCUUGCUUUGACAGCGUAUAUACUAAAAUUGGAACCAUACAGAGAAGAUUAGCAUGGCCCCUGUGGAAGGAUGACAUGCAAAUUUGUGAAGCGUUCCAUAUUUUU
rnacentral:snRNA from 1 species